AAAAGUCUCCGAUAGAUUGAAAUCAUCAUCGACGAAGCGGUCUCAGAGAUCACCCCCAAAAACCUCAAAACAGACUUCAUCCAGGACCACGAAACACACAGAAACAUGAUCGGAUCGUCGUCGAGGCUCUAAUACCAUGUUAACAUCGAGAUUAAAUCGAUGAAUCAUGAAAAUCAUAGAGAGAGAAAGUAGAAAAGUUUGGAAUCAGAAAUAUCGUCGAGGCUCUGAUACCAUGUUAACAUCAAGAUUAAACCGAUGAAUUAUGGGAAUUAUAGAGAGAGAAAGUAGAGAGAAGGAGGAGUAGGUGAGAAGUCUCUCGAAGGUCAGAGAGAGAGUUUAUUAAACAGAGGAACAAAAUUACACAAAUGAAAUCCGCGGGUCACAAAUAUCUGUGACCCCAGUAUAUAUAGUUAGUACAACGGGUCAGGUCAAUGACCCAAAGACCAUGGGGCUCGGAUCUCUGAGACGGGCUCAGAUAUGACUCUCAAGGAUUGGGCUCAGAGAGGCCCAAUCCAGACAUUUCAUCACUGCCCAAUUAAUUGUAUAC
rnacentral:lncRNA from 1 species